UACGUAGGCAGCGAGCGUUGUUCGGAUUUACUGGGCGUAAAGGGUGUGUAGGCGGUUGCUUAAGUUUGGUGUGAAAUCUCCCGGCUCAACUGGGAGGGUGCGCCGAAUACUGAGUGACUCGAGUGCGGGAGAGGAGAGUGGAAUUCCUGGUGUAGCGGUGAAAUGCGUAGAUAUCAGGAGGAACACCGGUGGUGUAGACGGCUCUCUGGACCGUAACUGACGCUGAGACACGAAAGCGUGGGUAGCAAACAGG
rnacentral:rRNA from 1 species